UAUAUUAAACUCUCUUUCAUGGUACAUGAGCAUCGGUUUAAUUAUUUGUCAUGUAAUUUAGGAAAACUUCAUAAUUCUUCCUAAAUUGGUGGACUAACCACGAUAAAAUCGCUAUUCUCAAGAGAAACGGAGACAACAAAGGUUACAAACCUCUUUGACCUUCAUCAUAUGUUACAGAAGGAUGAAAAUAUACAUUAAAAAAUAUUUUCAUAUUUUUAAAAUUUUCUCAAAAUCUAUGGGUUAACCCCUAC